rnacentral:rRNA from 1 species
AUGCACGCUGGCGGCGUGCCUAAUACAUGCAAGUCGAGCGAACAGACGAGGAGCUUGCUCCUCUGACGUUAGCGGCGGACGGGUGAGUAACACGUGGAUAACCUACCUAUAAGACUGGGAUAACUUCGGGAAACCGGAGCUAAUACCGGAUAAUAUAUUGCACCGCAUGGUUCCAUAGUGAAAGACGGUUUUGCUGUCACUUAUAGAUGGAUCCGCGCCGCAUUAGCUAGUUGGUAAGGUAACGGCUUACCAAGGCAACGAUGCGUAGCCGACCUGAGAGGGUGAUCAGCCACACUGGAACUGAGACACGGUCCAGACUCCUACGGGAGGCAGCAGUAGGGAAUCUUCCGCAAUGGGCGAAAGCCUGACGGAGCAACGCCGCGUGAGUGAUGAAGGUCUUCGGAUCGUAAAACUCUGUUAUUAGGGAAGAACAAAUGUGUAAGUAACUAUGCACGUCUUGACGGUACCUAAUCAGAAAGCCACGGCUAACUACGUG